GUGAAUCAUCAAAUUUUUGAACGCAAAUUGCACUCUCUUCGGAGAGUAUGCCUGUUUGAGGGUCAGUUUAAAUAAAAAUCGAGGUGUUGCUGUUUUGUGACCCAUCGGAAUUGGGUUAUCUUUGACCUUUUAAAAAGUUUAAGUGACCUAAAAUUGAUACCUUGUGCAUCUCAGACGUACAUAAGAAUAUUUUUUAUUCGUCCGGAAGUGCCCACUUUUUAUUUAGUAUUAACAAUCUUGUU
rnacentral:misc_RNA from 1 species